GAGUGACAGCCAGUGCACAUGGCUGGGGACACAGGAUGGCCGGGAAGGUGGAGCUGCUCCUGUGGGCUGAACCACAGUGGCCGCUACUGCUGUGGGGGCUGGGUGAGCUCCAACGUGUCCUCGUGGGUGCUCUCAGCGCCGGUGACAGUGACAGUGCACGUGCCCAUGGCCAAUGCCACCAUCACUUGAAGUCCCCUGUAUCAUCAAGUGCACGCGGGUGACAACGUGACCCUGCACCACUCAGUGCAGGUGGGCUCAGCCCCUGUCACCUUCAUCUGGCUGCACAACGGGCAGGAGGUGGCCCAAGGUCCCCUCCUGGAGCUCAGGGCCGUCAAUGUGGAACAUUCAGGCACCUGCCAGUGCGUGGGCACCAACCAGUUGGGA